GUUCUCUGUUCUGUCCCGCCGGGGUGUCCUUCCUCGAAUACUUUGGUUAUCGAUCCUGCUGAGCGGCCGGAGCUCGGAGACCGCGCGUCCCUGGGGACGCAGGGAGUGCGGAAGCCAGCAGGCUGGUGGCGAGGGGAGGAGAGGCUGACCAACUUUGGGAGAGGGUGUCGAUUGUACUCUGGGGCCGCCC
rfam:Oryctolagus cuniculus chromosome 2, whole genome shotgun sequence.